CCCCAGACUCCUACGGGAGGCAGCAGUGAGGAAUAUUGGUCAAUGGGCUUACGCCUGAACCAGCCAAGUCGCGUGAGGGAAGACUGCCCUAUGGGUUGUAAACCUCUUUUGUCAGGGAGCAACGCCGGCUACGUGUAGCCGGACUGAGAGUACCUGAAGAAAAAGCAUCGGCUAACUCCGUGCCAGCAGCCGCGGUAAUACGGAGGAUGCGAGCGUUAUCCGGAUUUAUUGGGUUUAAAGGGUGCGUAGGCGGACUGGAAAGUCAGCGGUAAAAUCGAGAGGCUCAACCUCUUUCCGCCGUUGAAACUGUCAGUCUUGAGUGGGCGAGAAGUAUGCGGAAUGCGUGGUGUAGCGGUGAAAUGCAUAGAUAUCACGCAGAACUCCGAUUGCGAAGGCAGCAUACCGGCGCCCGACUGACGCUGAGGCACGAAAGCGUGGGUAUCGAACAGGAUUAGAUACCCGCGUA
rnacentral:rRNA from 1 species